AUUCGCAGUUACUUGAGUAGCGUGGAUGGAGAAUAACGUGUGGCUGGAGAAAAAUAUGUUAUAAUGGAUAAGGAUGCUCUAAUUAUGAACCUGCAGGCUCAAUUAUUGUUCGUAAUCAGUCCAUGCAGCGAUGAAACUGAACAAUUGUGGGACUGUAUUUGGGCCAAAAAUGGGAGUGGUACGGAAACCCAGAAAUGGCACGAGUUCAACAUAAAACAUGAAUUAGAAUUUUAGCGGGGGGAUCAAGUCAAGUCUGGAAGUGUUACAGGAUGGAAGAGUCAGCCUGUAGUUGAAAAAACACUGAGAGUGCAUUACCGUUAAGGUGUGAGCAAUCCUUUAUAGUUCUGUCACAGCUAGAAGCCUCAAAUAAUUCUGCUUCCCUUGCUAAAGAACAACUUGUCCUUUACGCUCAGAGUGUUGGUGAAGCUGGGUACUUAAAUGGCCCUAAAGAUGUUUCACUUCACUGGCAUUGCAGCAAUGAACAUCAUACAUGGACUCUUUAGGAAAGGAUUUUCAGCAUACUGGGAACACAACUAUCAACAAUGCAACAUUCUAGGGGUGUUAUUUUAUCAUUCAAGAGCCUUAUACAAUGAUUUUCAUCUACAAUUUGUAUGGCCUUUCCCAAGCUUCUGUCAGAAGUUGAAUCUAUGAGUCAUGUGAGUCACAUGAGCAACAAUUGAGAUGCUUAAUGGUGUUGUUUUUCUUUUCUCAGUGUAGGUUAAUAGUAACAUUGGAUCUGAAAAGAUUCUUGGUUGGGGCAAGACACUGAAUAAAUUGUAAUGAUUGGAUGGAUGACAUGAUAUUUCUAUACUUCAUUCGGAUUCCCGAGACGGUAUUUUAUAUUUAAAAAAUUGAAGUGCAUAUCUGGGCUCCCUUCCUUUCCGUAGCCCCGUUUCCCCUUGACUCGUA